UACGUAGGGGGCAAGCGUUGUCCGGAUUUAUUGGGCGUAAAGAGCGUGUAGGCGGCCAGGGAGGUCCGUUGUGAAAACUCGAGGCUCAACCUCGAGACGCCGAUGGAAACCCCCUGGCUAGAGUCCGGAAGAGGAGAAUGGAAUUCCUGGUGUAGCGGUGAAAUGCGCAGAUAUCAGGAAGAACACCGGUGGCGAAGGCGGGUCUCUGGGCAAUAACUGACGCUGAGGAGCGAAAGCGUGGGAGCGAACAGG
rnacentral:rRNA from 1 species